rnacentral:lncRNA from 1 species
UUGCUUAGCAAUUCACUCAUUGUAUUUUUAAGUCAUUUAAUAAUCUUGCUUUUGAUACUUUUCUUUAAUUUCUCCCCCUUUUUGACAUCAUCAAACAUUGUUAACUCCCCCUCUUUUUUUGAAUACAUUUUCUCUUUAGUGUUUCUUCAAACUUCUUGUGCUAAUCAUUAAUGUUUACUCUCCCUGAAUACAGCAAUCAUAAAACAAAAUAUGCCAUUGAGUACCAUAGAUAUGAAAUAGCAACAAAGAGUAGAUAUAAUCAAAAGAUGAUUGAUACCAUUACAAAGAGUAGAUAUAUAAUUAAAAGAUGAUUGAUACCAUAGUUGUUUCAAUACAUAUUCCAUAAUAUAAAAGUCAACUAGUUAACAUCAUUACAUGGCCCAA